rnacentral:lncRNA from 1 species
GUGGAGAGAAUUUAGAGACAGAUAAAAUAUAGGAUCAAUUCUUAUAACUCAAAUCUUAUUCAAUCUUAUAUUACAAAAGGGAUUGUGAACCCAUUUAGGGCAUGUUUGGUAGGCCUCACUAUGCCUCACUGGACUGGAUUGUGUUAAAUAACACUUAAAACCCAUGUUUGGUAAGAAAGGGGAUUAACUUAAAUGAGACUGCAUAGUCCAACAGUGAAAAAAUAACCGGACUCGCAUGUCUAAUUCAGUGAGCCCCAAAUGCAGUUCGCAAAAUAGCACCAUCGCUAUUUUGAACACACGAGUCCGGCUGGAUUUCCUUACGUCUUGAAUCAAAACACCACCACCACAGACCCAAUCGACAGACUCUGGCAAUGCCCAGCUCUCCCUCUUCUCCCCCGAAUUUGUUCUCCCUCAUGACCACCACUCGCAAGCCACACACAGACCCAUCUCUCUUCGCCACCACAGCCACCCGCAAAACCCAGAACUAUCUCUCUUGGCCAUCUCUGUCAGACCACCACCAUCAAACCCAUAGCCAGUCGCCAGAGACCCAAUCGAACCAUCAUCACCACCCAAUCAGUCAAACAAAGCAUCAUCACCACCCAUAAACAGCCACCACAUACUCAGUUCAACAACCAUCAUCACCUAAUUAAACCACCACAACCAUUAAUUAGUGGAACCAGAAAGAGAGAGGGGUGAGUGUUUGCAGCCACCACAUAUCCAGAAGUGGAUAUGACUCUCUUAAAAGUUGGGGUGCAGCAUGAAGAGAGAGUGAAAAGGAAUGAAGGAAGAAGAAAAGAGAGGAAAGAAUAGAAAGAAAAAAAGAAAUAGAAGGAACGGCUUGGAAAGGAAGAAAGAAAAAAAAAAAAAAAGAGGCUUUGGAAGGAAUAAGAAAGGAGGAAGAAAGAAACGGGCCAGAGAUAAGGAAGAAGAAGAAAAGUCAAUGGGGAGAAGAGGAAGAAAGAAAAGAAGAAGAAAAAAAGAAAAAGAUAAUAUAGUUUGAAGUGCGUGGUUUAAUUGUUUGUUUGACCAGAGAUAAGAUAAUAAACCACCACAUACUUACUUAUUUGUUUUCUUUUUAUUUAUUUUUAGGUAAAAAAAGCCUUAAUUAAAAUUAAAUAUUAGAAUUUUAUUAAUUAAAAUUAAAUAUUAAAAUAAUUAUUUUUAGUCCGACACAACUCCAAACAUAGGUCUUCACUAUUUUUACAAUCCAGCUUCUUAGUCCGACCCAACACCAAACGUAGGUCAGUACUUAAUCCAGCUUAGGCCAACCCGAGCUAAUCCGAGAUAGUCUGAGGAUUUAAUCCAGUUCAUAACAGUCCACCGUACCAAAC